UACAGAGGGGCCAGCGUUAUUCGGAAUUAUUGGGCGUAAAGGGCGCGUAGGCGGCCAUGCGUGUCUUCCGUGAAAUCCCUCGGCUUAACUGAGGACGUGCGGAAGAAACUGCAAGGCUCGAGUCCGGGAGAGGGGGGUGGAAUUCCCAGUGUAGCGGUGAAAUGCGUAGAUAUUGGGAGGAACACCGGUGGCGAAGGCGGCCCCUGGACCGGUACUGACGCUGAGGCGCGAAAGCGUGGGUAGCAAACGGG
rnacentral:rRNA from 1 species